rnacentral:rRNA from 1 species
AGCAGCCGCGGUAAUUCCAGCUCCAAUAGCGUAUAUUAAAGUUGUUGCAGUUAAAAAGCUCGUAGUUGAAUUUCGGGGUUAGUAGAUUGGUCAUGCCUCUGGUAUGCACUGGUCUCACUGAUUCCUCCUUCCUGAUGAGCCGUAAUGCCAUUAAUUUGGUGUUGCGGGGAAUUUGGACUGUUACUUUGAAAAAUUAGAGUGUUUAAAGCAAGCUAACGCUUGAAUACAUUAGCAUGGAAUAAUGAAAUAGGACGUUCGAUCCUAUUUUGUUGGUUUCUAGGAUUGACGUAAUGAUUAAUAGGGAUAGUUGGGGCAUUAGUAUUCAAUUGUCAGAGGUGAAAUUCUUGGAUUUAUUGAAGACUAACUACUGCGAAAGCAUUUGCCAAGGAUGUUUUCAUUAAUCAAGAAC